rnacentral:rRNA from 1 species
AGAGUUUGAUUCUGGCUCAGGAUGAACGCUGGCGGCGUGCUUAACACAUGCAAGUCGAACGAGGAACACUGAUGAAGUUUCGGAUGGAAUCGGUAUUCCGAGUGGCGGACGGGUGAGUAACGCGUGGGUAACCUGCCCUGUACAGGGGGAUAACAGUUGGAAACGACUGUUAAUACCGCAUAAGACCACAGUGCCGCAUGGCACAGGGGUAAAAACUCCGGUGGUACAGGAUGGACCCGCGUCCAAUUAGCUAGUUGGUGAGGUAACGGCCCACCAAGGCGACGAUUGGUAGCCGAUCUGAGAGGAUGACCGGCCACAUUGGGACUGAGACACGGCCUAAACUCCUACGGGAGGCAGCAGUGGGGAAUAUUGCACAAUGGGGGAAACCCUGAUGCAGCCGACGCCGCGUGAGUGAUGAAGUAUUUCGGUAUGUAAAGCUCUAUCAGCAGGGAAGAAAAUGACGGUACCUGAGUAAGAAGCCCCGGCUAACUACGUGCCAGCCGCAGC